rnacentral:rRNA from 1 species
UACGUAGGGUGCGAGCGUUAAUCGGAAUUACUGGGCGUAAAGCGUGCGCAGGCGGUUCGUUAAGUUUGUGGUGAAAGCCCCGGGCUCAACCUGGGAAUGGCCAUGGAAACUGGCGGGCUGGAGUGUGGCAGAGGGGGGUGGAAUUCCACGUGUAGCAGUGAAAUGCGUAGAGAUGUGGAGGAACACCGAUGGCGAAGGCAGCCCCCUGGGCCAACACUGACGCUCAGACACGACAGCAUGGGGAGCGAACGGG